ACAGAUAGAGGUGCGGUUUUCAUCAGUACCGGUUGGAAGGGUCCGCAGACCCGAUAAUCACCCGGGAAAGGGACCUCCGCCGAAGCCGGUGCUUGUUGCGGAAAGGCCGUGCUGGACGCCGUCGGAAAAUAUCCCAGCGUCUGUCAUCAGCGGAAACGCCGGUGGAGAGCUAUUCUG
rnacentral:ncRNA from 1 species